rnacentral:rRNA from 1 species
GAUGAACGCUGGCGGCGUGCCUAAUACAUGCAAGUCGAGCGAACGGACGAGAAGCUUGCUUCUCUGAUGUUAGCGGCGGACGGGUGAGUAACACGUGGAUAACCUACCUAUAAGACUGGGAUAACUUCGGGAAACCGGAGCUAAUACCGGAUGAUAUUUUGAACCGCAUGGUUCAAAAGUGAAAGACGGUCUUGCUGUCACUUAUAGAUGGAUCCCCGCUGCAUUAGCUAGUUGGUAAGGUAACGGCUUACCAAGGCAACGAUGCAUAGCCGACCUGAGAGGGUGAUCGGCCACACUGGAACUGAGACACGGUCCAGACUCCUACGGGAGGCAGCAGUAGGGAAUCUUCCGCAAAGGGCGAAAGCCUGACGGAGCAACGCCGCGUGAGUGAUGAAGGUCUUCGGAUCGUAAAACUCUGUUAUUAGGGAAGAACAUAUGUGUAAGUAACUGUGCACAUCUUGACGGUACCUAAUCAGAAAGCCACGGCUAACUACGUG